rnacentral:rRNA from 1 species
UCAGACGAUGCGUCAUGCAUAUCAAUAAGCGGAGGAAAAGAAACUAACAAGGAUUCCCCUAGUAACGGCGAGUGAAGCGGGAAGAGCUCAAAUUUGAAAUCUUAAAGGGUUUCCCUUUACGAAUUGUAGUUUAAAGAAGUGUUUUCUGUUGAGGUUUUGGUAAAAGUUCUUUGGAAUAGGACAUCAUAGAGGGUGAGAAUCCCGUAUUUGACCUUUACUUUCAACUUUGUGAUACACUUUCAAAGAGUCGGAUUGUUUGGGAAUGCAGUCCAAAAUGGGUGGUAAAUUUCAUCUAAAGCUAAAUAUUGGCGAGAGACCGAUAGCGAACAAGUACCGUGAGGGAAAGAUGAAAAGAACUUUGAAAAGAGAGUUAAACAGUACGUGAAAUUGUCAAAAGGGAAGCGUUUGACACCAGUGUUGUUACUGAAAAUCAAUUAAAGAACUGUUUAUGCUAAGUUGUUUAGACUUUAUCAGCUAUCUGUUUAGUUUUGAGCUUUUCUUUAAUGCACUUUUCAGUUAACAAGUCAACAUCAAUUUCUUUUGCUGUAAAAAAGCUUGAGGAAGGUGGCUUGAGAUUCGUCUUAAGUGUUUAUAGCCUCUUGCCUAUGCAGUCGGAGAGAUUGAGGUCUGCAGCGUAGAUCCUUCGGGGCUAAAUGCAUUUGUGCUAAGUUAUAGCAUUUUAUAGACAACUUGUUGACUAUGAUUUGUCUUGCAGCUUACUCGCUUAUGUUAUUUUACCUACGCUUAGGAUGUUGAGCGCAUGUCUCUCUCU